rnacentral:rRNA from 1 species
GACGUAGGGCGCAAGCGUUGUCCGGAUUUAUUGGGCGUAAAGGGCUCGUAGGCGGCGUGUCGCGUCGGGAGUGAAAGGCCGGGGCUUAACCCCGGUUCUGCUUCCGGUACGGGCGGGCUGGAGUUCGGUAGGGGAGACUGGAAUUCCUGGUGUAGCGGUGAAAUGCGCAGAUAUCAGGAGGAACACCAAUGGCGAAGGCAGAUCUCUGGGCCGUAACUGACGCUGAGGAGCGAAAGCAUGGGGAGCGAACAGG